rnacentral:lncRNA from 1 species
AAGCAUAGCUUGUUUGAAAGAUGACAGGAAAGAUGAAGAGCGCAAUAUUUGAAUGCAAAAGGUCCAUUGAUUUAUUGAAUAUGAAUAUGCUUAUGAAAAUGACAAAACCCUUGAAGAAAAAAAAAUUAGCUAUUGUGCCCCGGGCAUAGACACAAUGCCUUAAAACACUAAAAUAGCAAUAACAAUUACUCCUGACUAAAGGAAAU